GACGAACGCGGGCGGCGUGCUAAUACAUGCAAGUAGAACGCUGAAGCUUGGUGCUUGCACCGAGCGGAAGAGUUGCGAACGGGUGAGUAACGCGUAGGUAACCUGCCUGGUAGCGGGGGAUAACUAUUGGAAACGAUAGCUAAUACCGCAUGAUAUUGAUUACUGCAUGAUAGUCAAUUAAAAGGUGCAAAUGCAUCACUACCAGAUGGACCUGCGUUGUAUUAGCUAGUUGGUGGGGUAACGGCUCACCAAGGCAACGAUACAUAGCCGACCUGAGAGGGUGAUCGGCCACACUGGGACUGAGACACGGCCCAGACUCCUACGGGAGGCAGCAGUAGGGAAUCUUCGGCAAUGGACGGAAGUCUGACCGAGCAACGCCGCGUGAGUGAAGAAGGUUUUCGGAUCGUAAAGCUCUGUUGUAAGAGAAGAACGAGUGUGAGAGUGGAAAGUUCACACUGUGACGGAUCUACC
rnacentral:rRNA from 1 species